rnacentral:rRNA from 1 species
UACAGAGGUCUCAAGCGUUGUUCGGAUUCAUUGGGCGUAAAGGGUGUGUAGGUGGCGCCGUAAGUCAGGUGUGAAAUUUCGGAGCUUAACUCCGAAACUGCAUUUGAUACUGCGGUGCUUGAGGACUGGAGAGGAGACUGGAAUUCAUGGUGUAGCAGUGAAAUGCGUAGAGAUCAUGAGGUGGACCAGUGGCGAAGGCGGGUCUCUGGACAGUUCCUGACACUGAGGCGCGACAGCGUGGGGAGCAAACAGG